AGUGAUACUCUCUUUCUGGGUUAACUUGAAAUACUGUGGCNAGAGCUGCUUUGCAGGAUCUCCUCUGAACUAACGUUUCUAGGUUCUACCAAUUCGUUAUGGACAGUGUGUGCUGAACGCAUGGCUUUUGGGCUCGGCCUAACAAUUUCUUCAUAAGUUUGACCUCAAAUCAGGUAGGAUUACCCGCUGAACUUAAGCAUAUCAAUAAGCGGAGGAAAAGAAACCAACAGGGAUUGCCUCAGUAACGGCGAGUGAAGCGGCAAAAGCUCAAAUUUGAAAUCUAGUACCUUCGGUGCUCGAGUUGUAAUUUGAAGGUAGUUUUCUGGUGCUGGCCCUUGUCUAUGUUCCUUGGAACAGGACGUCAUAGAGGGUGAGAAUCCCGUCUGAUGGGGUGUCCAGUGCUUUGUAGAUUUCUACCGAAGAGUCGAGUUGUUUGGGAAUGCAGCUCUAAGUGGGUGGUAAAUUCCAUCUAAAGCUAAAUACUGGCGAGAGACCGAUAGCGAACAAGUACAGUGAUGGAAAGAUGAAAAGAACUUUGAAAAGAGAGUGAAAAAGUACGUGAAAUUGUUGAAAGGGAAGGGUAUUGGAUCAGACUUGGUGUCUUGUGAUUAUCUUCCCUUCUUGGGUUGUGCACUCGCAUUUCACUGGGCCAGCAUCGGUUCGGAUGGCAAGAUAAUGGCUUGGGAAUGUGGCACUCUUCGGAGUGUGUUAUAGCCCUUGUUGAUGUUGCCUAUCUGGACCGAGGACUGCGGCUUUGCCUAGGA
rnacentral:rRNA from 1 species